UGCUUGUUGGGGUUGUAGGACACUCUAUACGGAGUUACAAAGGACGACAUUAGACGAAUCAUCUGGAAAGAUGAAUCAAAGAAGGUAAUAAUCCUGUAGUCGAAAAUGUUGUCUCUCUUGAGUGGAUCCUGAGUACGACGGAGCACGUGAAAUUCCGUCGGAAUCUGGGAGGACCAUCUCCUAAGGCUAAAUACUCUCUAGUGACCGAUAGUGAACCAGUACCGUGAGGGAAAGGUGAAAAGCACCCCGGAAGGGGAGUGAAAUAGAACCUGAAACCGUGUGCUUACAAGUAGUCAGAGCCCGUUAAUGGGUGAUGGCGUGCCUUUUGUAGAAUGAACCGGCGAGUUACGAUUUGAUGCAAGGUUAAGCAGUAAAUGUGGAGCCGUAGCGAAAGCGAGUCUGAAUAGGGCGUUUAGUAUUUGGUCGUAGACCCGAAACCAGGUGAUCUACCCUUGGUCAGGUUGAAGUUCAGGUAACACUGAAUGGAGGACCGAACCGACUUACGUUGAAAAGUGAGCGGAUGAACUGAGGGUAGCGGAGAAAUUCCAAUCGAACCUGGAGAUAGCUGGUUCUCUCCGAAAUAGCUUUAGGGCUAGCCUCAAGUGAUGAUUAUUGGAGGUAGAGCACUGUUUGGACGAGGGGCCCCUCUCGGGUUACCGAAUUCAGACAAACUCCGAAUGCCAAUUAAUUUAACUUGGGAGUCAGAACAUGGGUGAUAAGGUCCGUGUUCGAAAGGGAAACAGCCCAGACCACCAGCUAAGGUCCCAAAAUAUAUGUUAAGUGGAAAAGGAUGUGGCGUUGCCCAGACAACUAGGAUGUUGGCUUAGAAGCAGCCAUCAUUUAAAGAGUGCGUAAUAGCUCACUAGUCGAGUGACACUGCGCCGAAAAUGUACCGGGGCUAAACAUAUUACCGAAGCUGUGGAUUGUCCUUUGGACAAUGGUAGGAGAGCGUUCUAAGGGCGUUGAAGCAUGAUCGUAAGGACAUGUGGAGCGCUUAGAAGUGAGAAUGCCGGUGUGAGUAGCGAAAGACGGGUGAGAAUC
rnacentral:rRNA from 1 species